rnacentral:rRNA from 1 species
AGCAGCCGCGGUAAUUCCAGCUCCAAUAGCGUAUAUUAAAGUUGUUGCAGUUAAAAAGCUCGUAGUUGAAUUUCGGGGUCAGUAGGUCGGUCGUGCCACUGGUAUGAACUGGUUUCACUGAUUCCUCCUUCUUGUAGAACCGUGAUGCCAUUAAUUUGGUGUUGCGGGGAAACAGGACUGUUACUUUGAAAAAAUUAGAGUGUUUAAAGCAAGCUAACGCUUGAAUACAUUAGCAUGGAAUAAUGAAAUAGGACGUCGAUCUUAUUUUGUUGGUUUCUAGGGUUGACGUAAUGAUUAAUAGGGAUAGUUGGGGGCAUUAGUAUUCAAUUGUCAGAGGUGAAAUUCUUGGAUUUAUUGAAGACUAACUACUGCGAAAGCAUUUGCCAAGGAUGUUUUCAUUAAUCAAGAACGAAAGUUAGGGGAUCGAAGACGAUCAGAUACCGUCGUAGUCUUAACCAUAAACUAUGCGACUAGGGAUCGGAUGAUGUUAAUUUUUUAAUGACUCAUUCGGCGCCUUACG